UACGUAGGUGGCAAGCGUUGUCCGGAUUUACUGGGCGUAAAGAGCGCGCAGGCGGUCGAUCAAGUCGAGUGUGAAAGCCCCCGGCUCAACUGGGGAGGGUCAUUCGAUACUGAUCGACUCGAAGGCAGGAGAGGGUAGUGGAAUUCCCGGUGUAGUGGUGAAAUGCGUAGAUAUCGGGAGGAACACCAGUGGCGAAGGCGACUACCUGGCCUGUUCUUGACGCUGAGGCGCGAAAGCUAGGGGAGCAAACGAG
rnacentral:rRNA from 1 species